GAUGGGGACGUUUCCCAGGAUGCCCUCAACAACCUCAAAUCUCUCAUGGAUCAAGUUUAGGAGCCAUUGCAGAGAACCUUUCAGAAUGUUCAUCAAGGAUAUGUAACUGAAAUCUUAGUACGAUUUCUGAAAG